rnacentral:tRNA from 1 species
GUCCCAAUAGCUCAACUGGAUAGAGCAACGGCCUUCUAAGCCGUGGGUUGGGGGUUCGACUCCCUCUUGGGACG